GACGAACCGUGCGAACGUUGUUCGGAAUCACUGGGCUUAAAGGGCGCGUAGGCGGGCUAUCAAGUCUGGGGUGAAAUCCCACGGCUCAACCGUGGAACUGCCUCAGAUACUGACGGCCUCGAGGGAGGUAGGGGCAUGCGGAACUGUAGGUGGAGCGGUGAAAUGCGUUGAUAUCUACAGGAACUCCGGUGGCGAAGGCGGCGUGCUGGACCUCUUCUGACGCUGAGGCGCGAAAGCUAGGGGAGCAAACGGG
rnacentral:rRNA from 1 species